rnacentral:rRNA from 1 species
UAUACAUGCAAGUCGAGCGCGCCCUUCGGGGUGAGCGGCGGACGGGUGAGUAACGCGUGGGAAUAUGCCCUUCUCUAAGGAAUAGCCUCUGGAAACGGAGAGUAAUACCUUAUACGCCCUUUGGGGGAAAGAUUUAUCGGAGAAGGAUUAGCCCGCGUUAGAUUAGGUAGUUGGUGGGGUAAUGGCCUACCAAGCCUACGAUCUAUAGCUGGUUUGAGAGGAUGAUCAGCCACACUGGGACUGAGACACGGCCCAGACUCCUACGGGAGGCAGCAGUAGGGAAUCUUAGACAAUGGGGGCAACCCUGAUCUAGCCAUGCCGCGUGUGUGAUGAAGGCCCUAGGGUCGUAAAGCACUUUCGCCAGAGAUGAUAAUGACAGUAUCUGGUAAAGAAACCCCGGCUAACUCCGUGCCAGCAGCCGCGGUAAUACGGAGGGGGUUAGCGUUGUUCGGAAUUACUGGGCGUAAAGCGCACGUAGGCGGAUUAGUAAGUUAGAGGUGAAAUCCCAGGGCUCAACCCUGGAACUGCCUUUAAUACUGCUAGUCUUGAGUUCGAGAGAGGUAAGUGGAAUUCCGAGUGUAGAGGUGAAAUUCGUAGAUAUUCGGAGGAACACCAGUGGCGAAGGCGGCUUACUGGCUCGAUACUGACGCUGAGGUGCGAAAGUGUGGGGAGCAAACAGGAUUAGAUACCCUGGUAGUCCACACCGUAAACGAUGAAUGCCAGACGUCAGCAAGUAUACUUGUUGGUGUCAC